ACACUAGUAGCACAGGAGCGAGGUUAUAGACCAACCGAUCUGCAACGCUGCUUGUUCUAGAAAUACCGCCAGGAUCCGGAACUAUCGCAGGUUGAGUUCGAUUUUGUUGGGGAUUUUUCGGUACAGAACUCGCUUGAUCUGCUCAUGAGGACACAGCCCUUCCCUCUGUGGUACAACACAGAGGCCCCAUGAUUGGAUCCUUGUUGCCUCUUUAGGGAAGCAAGAUCCUCUGUCUCCCAUGCCCAAAGCCUCCUAAAGACAGCUUGAAAGCUCUCCAGGAAGCAUACACUCAUCUUCAAGUGCCCUGGAUGAUACCAAUCAUGCCAAGAGGUAGAGCUGUAACCAACUGCCUUGAAGCAGAUGUUCUGUGCACUGCUAUCUGAAACGAGUAAAACUCUGGCAUCUGUUAGUGGUCUGUUGCUUAAUGAAUUCAUGAUGUAACAACCCCCUGAACCAAAAUAACCCUAAGGGACAUUCAAAAUGCAGUAAUUCUGUCAAAAAGUGGUGCUUUGAUCAUUCACAAAUGCUGCAUUUUUAGACAAGCACAGGACAAGCACAAAGAAAGGAUCUGUGUAGCGGGAAGAAUUGU